rnacentral:rRNA from 1 species
AUCACCUUUAUAUGCGAUUUUGUGGAGUGUGAGGAGCUAAUCGCCUUCAUACCUGUAUAUUCGUGUACUUGGGGUGUACUUAUUCGUGGGGUUGGUUAACUUCAAUUUUGGUUUCAUAAAAUGACUGGAGGAAUGUAGCUUCGAUCUCGUAUUGAAGUGUUAUAGCCUUCGGUAGAUGUGAUGAUCGAGAUUGAGGAUUGCAAUGGAUACCCUUCGGGGCUACCUGUCUGGUCUCUGAUUGUUGCUCUGGUGCCGAAAGCUUGCUUACGGUUAUCAAAGUCGAUGGUCAAUAGGUUAGAACGGGUUAAAUUCGUUAAGGAUGUUGACGUAAUGGCUUU